GCUGGGCAUGGUGGUGCGCGCCCGUAGUCCCAGCUACUCAGGAGGCUGAGGCAGGAGAAUUGCUUGAACUUGGGAGGCGGAGGUUGUGGUGAGCUGAGAUCAUGCCAUUGUACUCCAGUCUGGUUAACAACAGCGAAACUCCGUCUUGGGGAAAAAAAAAAAAAAAAAAAAAGACAGAGUCUCUCUGUUGCCCAGGCUGGAGUGCAAUGGUGCAAUCUCGGCUCACUGCAACCUCCACCUCCCAAGUUCAAGUGAUUCUCCUGCCUCAG
rnacentral:sRNA from 13 species